rnacentral:lncRNA from 1 species
UAGGUGUCAUACUUAUUAAACCUUUUGAGCUGAAGCAGUAGAUCAACAUGCCGUGGGGAUCACCGAAUUAUUUUGGGAAGUGUGUGCGAUUGGUUGUGUUCUUUCUCGUUAUCCUAUAAAUAAAUCGAUUUCAUUUGGUGAGUUUCUCCCUUAUGCCCUCUUCAUAUUGGCAUUUUGUAUUUGUGCAAACUUCAAUGCUUAAUUAUUGCAGCCUUGCAUAUUGAAAGGGAUUAACAUUGAUGGAUGUGUAUAUGAUGCAUAAAUGUGUCUUCACUAUGGUCUCGUGUGGCAUCAAACUGUAUUUGUUGAUUUUUGGACCAAUGUGUAUGGUUUUAGGAUUUCCGAAGAAUAGUUUCCAUGUCCAUGGUUGAAGCUCAAUGCAAUUUGUGCUAAUUCAUGAUGUCUUCUCUGCCUUUGAAGUAAACAUGGAAGGUUAAAUCUUAAUUAUGAUUAAUAAACUCUAAUUAUGGAUUGAUAAGCCCUAAUUGGGAAUUACCUUACUUGGGGAUUGAUGAACCCUAAAUUGAGGUGGCUGCACCAUGCACCUUGAUUUAUACAAUUCUUUGCCAAAGUUAUAAUGUGAAUGAAAUAAAGGUUUGCUAGUAUAUGCUUGUUAGUAUAUGCUUGUUUCCUUUCUGUAGCUGUUUUUGAGUUUUUGCAGACAAACUACUGAUUUACUUUGAUAUCCUAUUUUAAGUGCUAUGAUUUAUUUAAUGUGAAUAACCUCUUUUGAGUUUUUUUCAUCCAGAUAAGUCUUGUUAGGCUGCCUUAUUUUGGUCGACUCGUCUACUAGCUAUAUUUUGUUGUGGUGGGUGAAGUGAGAAUGCGCAUUGCUGUUGCUCGAAAGAAAAAUCAGAAAGCAAAACAACUGGGACAGAUUAAUAUGAGUAUUGGAAGCAUUGCUUUUUACCAAUUGAUGCAAGUUCGACAGG